GAAAAGUUACUCAAAUUUACGAAGAGAUGAUAGUAUAGAAACCGAUAAUUAAGCCGAUAAAAAAGCUAAGAGAAAUGUCAUUUAAGUAUAUAAAUGGCUAAGUUAGGUUUUUUCCUUUUUAAGCACUUGUCAGCACUAAAAUUUCCAACUUUUAGUGUUAAGUAACUCAAAAAAUACAUAAAUAAACGAAAUAAUUUUUAUCACAAAUUUGUUGAAUUCAAUUUACAAUAGUUCUAGAGCUCAAGCAAAUUGCUUUCGAAAUCCAUGCCACAGAUUCUCUCUCUCCCCCUACAAUGAGAAAUAUCUCUUGCUAAGAUUUGUGGAACGCGUUGCACCAGCCGCCACAGCAACAGCAGGCAACUGACCAACCAACCGAUCAGCCCAACCAACCAACUAACCUAACCAAAAGCCAGCCACUUGCAAAGUGCGUAAGGAAAUCAAAAGGAGAAACAGGAAAUUUUGUUGUGCAAAAACAAAAACAACAAAAAACGAAAAAUAUUUCAUAACCUGACACAAAUUGCCAAAGAUGACAAAUGCGGAUGAUAAAACCGAUAUCGAAAAAGAUAGAGAUAGCUGGAUGGAUGGCGAAAGGGAAAGAUGAAGAUUUUCACUCACAAAUUGGCUAUCAGCAACUUCUCUUAAUCUUUUUUGGGAUCUGGUCAAUACACCCUUUUUGCCCGCAAACUAAAUGAAAAUGAAACGCUUACUCGUUUUGGCAUACCAAGCAGAUGUAGCCUGGGCAUAGGACUGAAAUCUAAGCUUCAACUUGUUAUAGGGUAUUUCAGUAGAUGCAUUUUUUGUUUUUCA